GAUGAACGCUGGACAGAAUGCUUAACACAUGCAAGUCGACUCGAGUCUUCGGACUUGGGUGGCGCACGGGUGAGUAACGCGUAAAGAACUUGCCUCUUAGACCGGGACAACGUCUGGAAACGGAUGCUAAUACCCUAUAUGCUCACGAGAGGCGCCUGCCUUGGUGAGGAAAGAUUUAUCACUGACAGAUGGACAUGCGUCCCAUUAGCUGGUUGGUAGGGUAACGGCCUACCAAGGCAACGAUGGGUAGGGGAACUGAGAGGUUUAUCCCCCACAUUGGUACUGAGACACGGACCAA
rnacentral:rRNA from 1 species